GUUAUCCUCAUUAACACUGCAAUUAACCUGAGGUGAGGCCAGCCCUGUUCCUGCUCUGCGGAAAGGCAAACACCUGUGGGAAGUUCUCUGGGAAGAGGGAACAUGGUUCAACCCUUUCUGUGCUGGCUCAGGGACUGCAACCCUGUCAAAUUCAACUGCAGUUUGAUUCAGACCCAUCUCCCUUAUCCAUGGUGUCUGCAUGUCUGCAGCAGGGAAUCUGGCCAGCUCUCAGCAGCCGCCUUUCCUCUAAGAAUUGCAGACUGAAGCAAAUUCCCAGCUUAUUAAAAAAUAGUUUUGUUAUUUU